CACAUGCAGUCGAACGAUGAAGCCCUUCGGGGUGGAUUAGUGGCGAACGGGUGAGUAACACGUGGGCAAUCUGCCCUUCACUCUGGGACAAGCCCUGGAAACGGGGUCUAAUACCGGAUAACACCGGCCUCUGCAUGGAGGCUGGUUGAAAGCUCCGGCGGUGAAGGAUGAGCCCGCGGCCUAUCAGCUUGUUGGUGGGGUAAUGGCCUACCAAGGCGACGACGGGUAGCCGGCCUGAGAGGGCGACCGGCCACACUGGGACUGAGACACGGCCCAGACUCCUACGGGAGGCAGCAGUGGGGAAUAUUGCACAAUGGGCGAAAGCCUGAUGCAGCGACGCCGCGUGAGGGAUGACGGCCUUCGGGUUGUAAACCUCUUUCAGCAGGGAAGAAGCGAAAGUGACGGUACCUGCAGAAGAAGCGCCGGCUAACUACGUGCCAGCAGCCGCGGUAAUACGUAGGGCGCAAGCGUUGUCCGGAAUUAUUGGGCGUAAAGAGCUCGUAGGCGGCUUGUCACGUCGGGUGUGAAAGCCCGGGGCUUAACCCCGGGUCUGCAUCCGAUACGGGCAGGCUAGAGUGUGGUAGGGGAGAUCGGAAUUCCUGGUGUAGCGGUGAAAUGCGCAGAUAUCAGGAGGAACACCGGUGGCGAAGGCGGAUCUCUGGGCCAUUACUGACGCUGAGGAGCGAAAGCGUGGGGAGCGAACAGGAUUAGAUACCCUGGUAGUCCACGCCGUAAACGUUGGGAACUAGGUGUUGGCGACAUUCCACGUCGUCGGUGCCGCAGCUAACGCAUUAAGUUCCCCGCCUGGGGAGUACGGCCGCAAGGCUAAAACUCAA
rnacentral:rRNA from 1 species